CUGAGCAGAACACUUCCGACCGCUCUCUCACGCCGGCGUGACACACGCGCUUUCUCGAGUUCGUAUCGUCUCCCUCACCGCCUUACUCCCGGACGCCUGCACUGCACCGCUUCUCCUCUUCCUUUAUCGUUUCUUUGUGCGUCCACGCAAGCCCUUUCCACGCACGUAGGAGCACUCACCAACUCUUUUCCCUUUCACGGCCAUCAUGGGAAAGAACCCGCCGAAGUGGCUGCCGGGCGAGCGCGUGAAGGAGACCAUUCUUCUGCAGCGCAAGUCCGUUGAGCAGCUGCGUGCUGAUCGCGUGCUGCGUAAGGAUAAGCUGCAGGAGCGCCGUGAGCGCCACAAGAACAAGUUAGACGCGAAGCGCAAGCGCAAGCUUUCGACGAAGAAGUUUAUCUCCGCUCAGACGAUCCUGAAGCACGCGCAGCGCAAGGAGAAUCAAGGACGCAAGUUCCAGAAGAUCGGCGAGAAGGUCGAGGGCCGCCGCCGCCAUGUGAAUUUCGGGGAACUGAAGAAGCGGCUGCGUGAGAGCCCGGUACGGCUCGUGGUGCGCGCGAAGGGGUCGCAGAUCCCGCCGGAGGUGGCGGCGGCCUUCAGAAAGCUGGGCCUUCUCAAGAUCUACUCGGCACGCCUGAUCAGCCUGACGCCACGCACGGAGAAGCUCAUUGAGCAGUUGACACCCUUCUCGAUUGUUGGCCAGCCGGACAGGGCUCAGGUGGAGUCGCUCCUUCGCACCCGCGGCUCCUUGUACAACGAGGAGACGCAGACGAAGCGGCUCAUCAGCGGCAACCUGCUGCUGGAGCAGGCACUGGGCCAGUACAACGUGCUGUGCAUUGAAGAUCUUGUAGAGACCAUUGCCACGCAUGGCGAACACGUAGAGGAAGUUCUCCGCCACAUAGCGCCUUUUGACUUCCACCCGCCUCGCCAGCUCUUCAUCGAGCGCCACCGUUCCGUUCACCAGAAGCUGGAGAUCGUCAACAAGCACUCCUUCGCCGCGUACCUAUCAGACCAGCUGCAGCAGAUCACGGUCGAGAAGCAGCGCAAGACUGCUGCUGCGGCGAAGAAGUCCACGACGGUGGUUGUGAAGCGCAAGGCCGCCUAAAGCAGUUGGAUUGUACAGGAUGCCAGAAAGGAGGCGGGCGGAGAGAGAAGCGAAAUGGGGAGGCUGUGGUGGACGUUGCUACGAUGCAACGCGUGAUGAUACCCCCUCCCCACUCCAUUGUGUAUGUGUAAGUGCGCGAAGCGGCUCCAGCUCUUCAUGCUGUAUGUCUGGCGCGCCGGCCUAUCGCCGUAUGGAUGGGCCUGGGGUGUGGCUCUGUGGAGGGUGACCAACCUGGCCUACUAAACAUUGCUGUAGCGCUUGUUGCUGUGCCUUGUCGGCACGUUGAGGUGCCGUUAACGAACAGCAUGCCAUCGGCGGUUUCGGAUACGCGGACGAAUCUGCUUUCGUCGUUCUUUGGUGGAAGCCGUCUUUGCGGCGCGACGAUGAAAGGGGCCACGCGAACGGACAUGUGCGGCGCUGCUCUGCCCCUCUUCUUCCGCCGUUUUCUUUGCUUGGGUUUGUGUGUUGUGUGGGCCGUGUCGGCAUCCCCUCUUUCUUUGUCCUCUGCCUAGUAAGUUUCAUAACGGAUACGACUCCCACAACGACGAAUAAUUGUCUGCACGGCACAGACAGCGCGUGUGCACCACCCGACACCACCACCAACACCGUCAUGAAGUCGCGGCUGCCUGAGCUCAAUAGGCUUGACCAUGUGUGUGAAGGCGAUAGAGGAGGGGGGCUGUUUUAGUGGCGCGUAUCUCAGCAGGAGCUGCUCUACCCUGAGCGUGUUUAUCGCUGAGUUAUAGCGUCAUCUACCGGUGUGCCGGUGGUGGUGUUGGACGCGGCGGAGGCGAGAGAGAAGACAGAGGGACCAAAGCUAUCCUAAUUCGGCUGCGCCUGCUCUCUCUCUGUGCGUGCACUGUGACUGCGUGUGUGUGUAUGCCUGUGCUAGCGUGUCUCUCCCGCGUUGACCCUACACCCCGUCACGUACAUCGCACACAUGUCGGACGCCUGUCGAUUGUUAAUGGUUGCUAACACACGUGCCACUUGCGCUUGCAUGCAGAUAAACCUACACGGAAAGAUGACAUAACAGGCGGGGCUCUCAGCAUCGGCGUGCUGAAGAGAGCAUGCGUUGCGGUGGAGGCGUGUUGGGUCCACGUCUGGGAGAGCGAGAGAGCGCGCGCGAGAGAGGAGGAGCUUAUCACUGUGCCAGGCGAGGAGAGAGCGAGAGAGGGGCGGUAGCAAAAGAGGGAGGGGCGGCGAUGUGAGUGAGAGCUGGGGGAGCGUGGUGA
rnacentral:misc_RNA from 1 species